GGAAUAAAUUUAAUUCAAAUUAUUCAAUAUAUACAUAUUUCUUAGUUAAAUAUACAUUGGGUCUAUCGUAGGUACUAAAUAUUAACAGUUACUUAGUGGUCUACCACAGACAUCAUUAAUAUUUAUCUAAAAUAUUAAUGAACAAACAGUAAAAAUGUUUAUGAACAUUAAAAAAAUGGUAAAUUGCAUUUGAUCAAAAAAAUAGUUUUGAAUACUUAUUUCGAUUCGGAAAUAGGUUCUAUCUCACUAUGUAACAUUUAUACUUAUUGAAUAAUAUGAUAUUUAAUUAUUCAGGGAGAACUCGAUUUUUCUAUCUUACACAACGAUCAAACUGAGAGGAUGUCAGUGCAAUAUUUGUUUCCUCUCUCAGACUCACAUAGAUAAAACGUUUUUGAAUAAAAUCAUUUUUUUAUCAUUUUUGAGUAACCUUACAGUAACCUUUUAGUAAAACACCUAUUAUAAAAAUAAUAAUUUUUUGAGGGCGUAACUAAUUAUUAUUGAAUUUCAAAAUAAAACAAAAAAAGUUGUAAAUUUAAAUGACGUUGAAAUUGUUGAGAUACAAUAUUCAGACAAAUCGUUACGUCAUUCCCUCAAAAAUAUUAUUUUCUAUCGAUGUUGUGAUAGAUGAUUUUACUCUAAUAUUAUUCAAAAGCAUAAAAAAAUUAUUCUACGUAAAUGUAUAUAGUCUAUGAAAAGCGAGUUACAGAGAGAGAAAACAAACAAGGCGUUGACAUCCUCUUAACGUAGAUAUUGCUUUUGCUCUCUUUUUGUGGUUAAUUUUUUCUUUAUAGAAAACUAUAGAAUUGUUUGAUCAUAUUAACAAUGAACAAUAUUGAAUUUAUAAUAAAGAUAAAAUCAAUACCUUGGUACCAAUCUAUUUUUAAAUGAUAUUGAACUUUUAAUACGUUUUUUAAUUAAUUUAUGUAUUAAUUUAAAUACUUAUAAUGGAUUUUUUUCUGCACUGUUAAUCGCAAUUCAACAAUUGGCCUUAGUCUCAUUAUAAUGAAAUGAAUCAAAAAAAUGUAUGUACUUAGGUAUAUACAAUUGUUAAAUUAUACUUACUGGGCUUGAUUGAUGGCCAUUCUUCACGUUCAAACCGAACAUCUUCAAAUUCGAUUUUCAAAUAAGACAAGAGAAACCUGAUAGGCUCUGCCAGGGCAGGAAAAUUGAAGUAAGUGAGUUUGUAUGCUGCCAUUUCUUCUG